UACGUAGGGCGCAAGCGUUACCCGGAAUUAUUGGGCGUAAAGAGCUCGUAGGCGGUUUGUCGCGUCUGCUGUGAAAUCCCGGGGCUUAACCCCGGGCGUGCAGUGGAUACGGGCAGACUAGAGUGCGGUAGGGGAGAUUGGAAUUCCUGGUGUAGCGGUGGAAUGCGCAGAUAUCAGGAGGAACACCGGUGGCGAAGGCGGUUCUCUGGGCAUGUCCUGACGCUGAGGAGCGAAAGUGUGGGGAGCGAACAGG
rnacentral:rRNA from 1 species